rnacentral:rRNA from 1 species
GACGAACGCUGGCGGCGUGCUUAACACAUGCAAGUCGAACGGAAAGGCCCUGCUUUUGUGGGGUGCUCGAGUGGCGAACGGGUGAGUAACACGUGAGUAACCUGCCCUUGACUUUGGGAUAACUUCAGGAAACUGGGGCUAAUACCGGAUAGGAGCUCCUGCUGCAUGGUGGGGGUUGGAAAGUUUCGGCGGUUGGGGAUGGACUCGCGGCUUAUCAGCUUGUUGGUGGGGUAGUGGCUUACCAGGGCUUUGACGGGUAGCCGGCCUGAGAGGGUGACCGGCCACAUUGGGACUGAGAUACGGCCCAGACUCCUACGGGAGGCAGCAGUGGGGAAUAUUGCACAAUGGGCGGAAGCCUGAUGCAGCAACGCCGCGUGCGGGAUGACGGCCUUCGGGUGGUAAACCGCUUUCGCCUGUGACGAAGCGUGAGUGACGGUAAUGGGUAAAGAAGCACCGGCUAACUACGU